rnacentral:tRNA from 1 species
GGGUAUAUAGCUCAGUGGUAGAGUGCAUGCCUAGCAUGUACAAGGUCCUGGGUUCAAUCCCCAGUACUUCCA